rnacentral:rRNA from 1 species
CCUACGGGUGGCAGCAGUGGGGAAUAUUGGACAAUGGGGGGAACCCUGAUCCAGCGACGCCGCGUGAGUGAAGAAGUAUUUCGUUAUGUAAAGCUCUAUCAGCAGGGAAGAAAAUGACGGUACCUUACUAAGAAGCCCCGGCUAACUACGUGCCAGCAGCCGCGGUAAUACGUAGGGGGCAAGCGUUAUCCGGAUUUACUGGGGGUAAAGGGAUCGUAGACGGUGCAGCAAGUCGGAUGUGAAAGGACGGGCCCAACCCCGGGACGGCAUUGGAAACUGUUGAACUGGAGUACAGGAGAGGUAAGCGGAAGUCCUAGUGUAGCGGUGAAAUGCGUAGAUAUUAGGAGGAACACCAGUGGCGAAGGCGGCUUACUGGACUGUAACUGACGUUGAGGCUCGAAAGCGUGGGGAGCAAACAGGAUUAGAUACCCGAGUAGUC